GAUCAAACGCUCAGUGUCGGUGAAGGCAACAUAGGAAGGGGUAGUCCUGUUACCCUGGUCAUUGGCGAUGAUCUCAACACGAUCGUGUUGCCAGACACCAACGCAAGAGUAGGUAGUUCCGAGAUCGAUUCCGAUAGCCGGACCUUCUCCCUUGCCGGCCAUUAUGGUAGUUGUGAAACGGUGAUAGCAAGGAAGAAGAGAAGAAGAAAGAAGAAGCGGAGAUCUGGGAA
rnacentral:misc_RNA from 1 species